CACUAUCAUGACACAAAGGGCGCUAUUGUGGCCCUAUCGUGACAAAAAGGACACUGUUGUGUCACACAUUGCACUGUUGUGUCACACAGCACUGUUGUGUCACACUCAGCACUGUUGUGU
rnacentral:lncRNA from 7 species